rnacentral:rRNA from 1 species
CACGUAGGGCGCAAGCGUUGUCCGGAAUUAUUGGGCGUAAAGAGCUCGUAGGCGGUCUGUUACGUCUGCUGUGAAAACCCGGGGCUUAACCCUGGGCUUGCAGUGGAUACGGGCAGACUAGAGGCAGGUAGGGGGAGAAUGGAAUUCCCGGUGUAGCGGUGAAAUGCGCAGAUAUCGGGAGGAACACCGGUGGCGAAGGCGGUUCUCUGGGCCUGACCUGACGCUGAGGAGCGAAAGCGUGGGGAGCGAACAGGAUAGAAACCCUU